GAUGAACGCUGGCGGCGUGCUUAACACAUGCUAGUCGAACGGAAAGGCUCCUGCUUGCAGGGGUACUCGAGUGGCGAACGGGUGAGUAACACGUGGGUGAUCUGCCCUGCACUUCGGGAUAAGCCUGGGAAACUGGGUCUAAUACCGGAUAGGACGAUGGUUUGGAUGCCAUUGUGGAAAGUUUUUCGGUGUGGGAUGAGCUCGCGGCCUAUCAGCUUGUUGGUGGGGUAAUGGCCUACCAAGGCGUCGACGGGUAGCCGGCCUGAGAGGGUGUACGGCCACAUUGGGACUGAGAUACGGCCCAGACUCCUACGGGAGGCAACAGUGGGGAAUAUUGCACAAUGGGCGCAAGCCUGAUGCAGCGACGCCGCGUGGGGGAUGACGGCCUUCGGGUUGUAAACUCCUUUCGCUAGGGACGAAGCGCAAGUGACGGUACCUGGAGAAGAAGCACCGGCUAACUACGU
rnacentral:rRNA from 1 species